CACUCAGGAAGAACUAAGGCAAAAGGAUCACAGAUGCUGCUUGGGGCCAGCCCCGUACUCCCGCCAGUGCCUGGUCUCCCGUGGGCCCGCGGGGCUCUGCAGUUCGCUGGCGGCCGAGCCUUGUGAGCGCUAAGCCGGGAGGAGGGCGCAGUCAGGGCGCACAGCUCUGAGCGCGCCCCUACCCGGCUCGGGCCCGCAGCAGCCCGGACUGUCCGAGAGCCUCCCCGCAAGCAAGGCUGUGCGCCUCCCUCUGAGCGCACCUCCUGGCCACAACGCCGCCUGCGCUUCUCCAGCCCAGGCCGGAAGCCCUAUGCUGCCUUCCGAAGCCGGACUUUCUGGAAGCCCACCUCCAUAUGCUCACCAGCCCACCCUCCUACGCUGGUCAGAGUGAGAUUGCUAACCUCAAGACCCCAUUCAAUGCCAGCUUUCAACUACUGCUGAAGACCAAUGUAGGUCCCAGGAUAGAAGAACCGCAGAGUCUAAAUCUAUUUGACCGGCCCCUCCUCCCUUCCCUCCUUCCAUUCAGCUCCACUCCCGUGCCCAGCCCUCUUUCCAGCCCACGACCCCUAAACUAAGCCCAGGCAUAAACUCCAGGAUCAUCUCUGAGCCGGACGACAGUAGUGCCCAGGUCACGAUCCGUUCUAAGGGCAAAAGCAAUGACAGAAAAGUCAGGGGCGGGUGCUCUAGGAGAGAGGGAGACCUGAAACGGAGGGUAGGAUUCAGUUCGGAGCCCACCGGCUGCUGAGGGGAGGAGGCGAAAGGAGGGGGCUGGGAGUCCACGGGUCGGGGCAGCAGGGACUUCAGGCGGCGGCGUGGGGGGCUAGAUCCGGAGGAGAGGGGAGGGGUGGCGGGGGUCGGAGGAACACGCAGGGCGGAGGGGUGUGGGGCUCUUUAAGAGCCACACGGCUAGCAGGAGAGGCGUGCGGCCCUGUGCUGGUAGCGCACUGACCCCGAAGGGGAUUUAGCGGGAAAGGAGCGACCUGGUUCUGGGGGCUUUGUCCGGGGGCGCCCAGAAAGGCCGAGACACAAGAAUAAGAAGCGCUUGCAGCGUGAAAGGCUGCGAGGAGCGGCGGCGCUGCUGCUCUUGACUUCUGAGCAGGGCUUAGAAGGCCUGCCCCGGCUUAAGCUGAACUGAGGGUGCUGAGCCCUGAGUCCUGGCCUUUAAGCUGAGGAGGCGUGGGAUAGGGGCGGACGCUGGAGUAGUGGGUCUUCUUGCGACAACCCCCUCUUGGAUCUUACAGCCUUGCUACCCUAGCGCAUGGUUGUUAGCCUAGCCCGCCGCGUCUGGCAUAGCCAAAGAAAUUUACUUUCCCAGCUUGGCUUUUGCUUUUGUGUGUCCACCUCAAGCAGAUCCGGAGCUGGCCGACCCCAGACUGAUUCUCAACAGGUGGCUGGGUAGUGACCCCCAUUCUGUGUUGGUAGUACGGGACCCAUCGCACACAGAGAAGCUACCUUCUCACACCUCACCCCGUUGGCCCAAAGACUGACCACCCGCGCCCGAGUCGGGGGGUGGGAAUCCCGGAUGACACACACACACACACACACACACACACACACACACACACACACACCAGGGUAGGAGAACAGGGAGGACCUUACCUGCAGAAAGGUAAGAGAAACCGGGAGCGUGUAGCAGCGGCGGAUAAAUAUUCAUUAGGAAGUGUAAGUCCUUUCAAAGGGCUCCGCGCGCGCGCGCUCUAGCUCCUGUCUCUCUUUCUCUCCCUCCCUCUGUCCUCCAGGAAGGCUUCUCCUCCUCUAGCUCUCUCAACGCCCCCCCACCUCCUGCGACAUACCGGGUGGAUCCUAGGCUAGCUAACCUGUUGGGAAGCCUGAACUGCGGCAGCGCCUCUGCAGCUAGCAGUUUGCUUUCGCUCCUGGGGCGCGCGUCCCCCCCCCCAGUCCCCUCCCCUCCUUCCUUUCGCCCAGCCCCUCACCCCUCCUAAAUUACUACAUCAUUAGCUUUAUUGGGCGGGGAGGGGGUAACGGAGCAGCCAGACGCACCUCUCCAUAGAAGGGUGAAUAGUUGGUGCCCUGCGAUGCAACCCCAACUCCAUCUCCACCUCAUUCUCACCCAUCUGCACAUCCUCACCCAAUCUUGCUUCUUUUUCUUCGCUCUUUCCACCUCCACCUCCAUCCUGUGUCAACCUAACUCCCUCAGCAGCCCUCCCACCCGCCGCCGCCAAUCCGGAUCACAGAUUGGGUUGAGAGUGAGAUUGCAAGGCAGUUAGGUCCGAAGGUCCUGCGUGUCGAGGUUAGAACUCCUCCCUGCCGUGAGUAUGGGAUGGUUAUCAAGAUCUCCUUCUCCUCCCUGACCCUGCAAGGUUACCGAACAGCUUGGACUUUUGAAUCAGAUCUCUGGAGUGAGCAUUAAGAACUCCAGCCAUACAGAGCUCAGGGCCUGGCCCUUUCACUCAUCCACCGAAGCUGCUUGAGGGAUGGGGAGAGGUGACUUCACUCAGCGCCAACAAGCAGGAGAAACUCAUAGACCGACAGUUGGACUAAUACUCCUCGUCCUUUAAGAAUGCACUAUCUGAAGUUAGUCGCAAGUCAUCUUCAAUCAAGGAAAGGGAAAAAAAAUCCUCACAUCUAGAAGCUUUGCUGAAGCCACUUCCAACAGCACGCCCUUCUCUGUGCACGCCCCAAUGCCUGCUCUCUCUCGGGCAGGUGAAAAUAUAGGCUGCCCAGGCCAGAGGAGAGAAGGCGGUGGAGGAAUACAUUGCUUAGGGUUGUUUAGAAACUUGGAAUAACUGUAUUCAACACUCUGCUCGCUACCAGCACCUUAGGUUCCCUCUUGGGACCCUGAAAAGUGUGGCUUUGCCCCACGAUGUCUGGGCGGGGGUGGGGGUGGGGGGUGGGGGUGGGGAGGGGUUGAAGUGAUUCUAGCUUUGGCCCUCCUACUGGGAGCUUAAAGUUGGGGUGAGGGCUUAAGGAGGAGUCGAGGGGGUGGGCCCUGCUAGUUUGCCAGUGUAAGUGCAGCUGCACCUGGAACACCAAGAAGGAAAGUCUUGUCCCCUAUCGCUCAGGGUGCUUGCUUAGAGGCUCCCCUAGGUUAACAACGGGAGCUUCUCUCUCUUCUGAGCCCCAGGGCAACAUAGGACGAUGGUGGCCGGGAUGCCAGCUGACGUCUAAACGCCAUAAGACUUCACUUGCCUCUCAUUUUGGCUGUUCGGAGCUAAUGUCUACCAGAGGAGGUUUUAGAAGCUGGUCUUACCCGUCCUGAAUCCAUCCUGUGAGGAUGCAGAGGGUCGCUCCUUCUUGUUAAAGGUUAGCAUAAUACUUACUUAGGGUAGAGGAAGAUGUGAAAAAAAAAAAAAAAAAAAAAGCCUGGGGUGCUUAGGGCCAACCUUACAGCUCACCCAAAGUCCAGAACCUCCCAUUGUAUACCUUCUCUCUCCAACACAGAUUCCUAAGGUCUCUUCUUCAUCUGGCGUUCACAGAAGGUAAAGUGUGCAAGAACACACUUAGGAAAAUUAUAGGAACUCUAACCUCAGUGCUGGAGGAAUAAAGACUUGGCGAAGGAAUGGAUCGAAUGCUUGAACACAUACACCUUGUUGUCCAGAGGCAGACAAAAGCUACCACGUCCACUUGGAGUGACGCCCAGACAUGCACACAGGAAGCCAAGGAGAGUGGGCUCAACCAGAGUACAGUACUUCCUGCAAGAUGCCCAGUGGGCCUGGAAAAAAAAAAUCUUCCAUUGACUCUUCUGUAUGGAAAGUUUCAGGCCACGUUCUGAAGAAAGGGCCAAGGAAUGAUCUGCCCCACAGGCUGCCUUUAGGCUCCCCUACCUGCUCUGCUGGAGACACCCAGAAGAGGCCAGUACAGGGAAGACUCCUUUUGCUUUGAUUAUUUCUGUUGCUGGUUGUCUUUUUUUUCCCGCCCUUUGCCUGGAAAAUUGUGCUCUGGAAUAGGGCUUGAGCCGACAGCACAGGCCUCCAGUAGAUAACAAGAGAUUCUCAAUGUCCAAUGAGGACAGUCCGUUCUAAGGAAGCUUCCAGAUAUGGGAAAGCCCUGUUUUGUCCCCCUUUCUCUUCUGAGAUCUGAAAAA